ACCUCUCGGGGUUACAGCCUUGCUGAAUUAUUCACCCUUGUCUUUUGCGUACUUCUUGUUUCCUUGGUGGGUUCGCCCACCACUAGGACAAACAUAAACCUUUUGUAAUUGCAAUCAGCGUCAGUAACAAAUUAAUAAUUACAACUUUCAACAACGGAUCUCUUGGUUCUGGCAUCGAUGAAGAACGCAGCGAAAUGCGAUAAGUAGUGUGAAUUGCAGAAUUCAGUGAAUCAUCGAAUCUUUGAACGCACAUUGCGCCCUUUGGUAUUCCAAAGGGCAUGCCUGUUCGAGCGUCAUUUGUACCCUCAAGCUUUGCUUGGUGUUGGGCGUCUUGUCUCUAGCUUUGCUGGAGACUCGCCUUAAAGUAAUUGGCAGCCGGCCUACUGGUUUCGGAGCGCAGCACAAGUCGCACUCUCUAUCAGCAAAGGUCUAGCAUCCAUUAAGCCUUUUUUUCAACUUUUGACCUCGGAUCACGUAGGGAUACCCGCUGAACUUAAGCAUAUCAAUAAGCGGAGGAA
rnacentral:rRNA from 1 species